rnacentral:rRNA from 1 species
UACGUAGGGCGCAAGCGUUGUCCGGAAUUAUUGGGCGUAAAGAGCUCGUAGGCGGUCUGUCGCGUCUGCCGUGAAAACCCGAGGCUUAACCUCGGGCUGGCGGUGGAUACGGGCAGACUAGAGGUAGGUAGGGGAGAAUGGAAUUCCCGGUGUAGCGGUGAAAUGCGCAGAGUAUCGGGAGGAACACCGAUGGCGAAGGCGGUUCUCUGGGCCUUACCUGACGCUGAGGAGCGAAAGCGUGGGGAGCGAACAGG